UGAAUAGAAGCCAGACACAAUUGCACUCUGCCUUCUCCCAUUGGCUGGACGUGGCGUUGUCAGGACAACCAUUGCUUGUCAACAUUCCAUCUAGAAGCCCAGUAUAACAGCUGCUGAAUGAACUCAUCCAGGGAGCCCCAACAGCUGCAGCUGACCAGUGAGAAAAGUUUCCAAGCCAAGAACCUGGUUGGUCAGAGGAGGAAACUGAGACCCACAGUCACAAAGCUAGGAGGUGGUAGAACCCAGCUGAAAAGAUUCACAUGUUCAUUUCAUGAUGCCAUGCUGUCUCUGCAAGCCUUGGGAAGGAGGAGUGGAGCUCUGGCAGACCACCACUGAGGUGCUUGAUCUCCUACACUACUGGACUUUAGCUCCUGUUCCUAGAAUUCAAUGCCAAGGACGCGUUAAUAAUCACCGCAAAUCCCAUUUGCCGAAGGAUUUUCCUCCCCACCAAUCCCCAUCCCCACCCCAGGAAAGGAUUGCCAGCAGGCUGGCAGCCUGGGAUGGCGCAAGAUCAAAAUUGCACAGAGCUUGGCUGGGUCAGGACUCUAAGGCGGUUGAAGAGGCUUUUUCUCUCAAGCUAAUCAGACUGGAAGGUGUGCCUAGUGGUCUCCCGAAGAACCAGUUGAGGAGCUGCCAAGGACUCUGGAUUAUCAAUAAGGUUGAGUGAGGGGUCCCCUUCACAGUGGUGGAUAUUGUGAAUGGUGGGAACCUUUUUCCUUUUGGGCCUUGUGAGGACCCUAAGCUUGAGUUUGCUGUCUGACCCAGUCACCUGGAGUUUGUGAGCACCUGGCCCUGUGGCCAUUGCUAACCCCUUGUAGUUUAGUUAAGUUAAGGUUUAUUUAGGGUUAGUGCCUCGGUGGGCUGAUAGAAGUACUACUUCCCUAAAUCCCCUUCAAUUUCCUUUAUCCUUUUAAUUAAAUAUAGCUCUGUUAUUUCUUUACGUUAUUAGGGUUAUCUUCUGUUGCCCUUCCCUGAAACCUUCCCUCUAACAGUUUUCAUAUAACAGUAUAUAGUUGUAUAUUCACACACAUUAUAUAUGUUUGGAACAUAAGCUCCUAGAUUUGGAGCUACAAAGGACUCUGGGAGCCAUCUAGUCCAAGCCCCUCAUUUUACAGAGGGACAAACUGAGUUCCAGGGAGGGAGAAUGACUUGUCCAAGGUCACACUCAGGAUCCUAGGUCUAGAAUUGGAAGGAACCCAGAGGCCAGACGCCAUCUAGUCCAAGCCCCUCAUUUUACAGAGGGACAAACUGAGGUCCAGGUAGGGAAACGAAUUUGUCUAAGGUCACACACAGGAUCCUAGAACUAACACUGGAAGGGGCCCCAGAAGCCACCUAGUCCAACCCCAUAAUUUUAUACAAGAGGAAACUGAGGCUCAGCCUGAAAUGACUUUGCUCUAAGGCAAGCAGGGAUAUGACCCAGCAGAAUUUGAACCCAUGUCCCUCUGGCUCCUUAUGCAUCCCUUUUUACACUAUAUCAUAUCUCUUCAGUGGCUGGAUUGCAGUGGGGGAAAGAGCCCUGGUUUUGAGACCUAGGGUUUGAAUCUGGCCUCCAGCUUUUCUUAGUGAUGUGACUUUGGGGAAGUCACUUACCUUCUCUGAGUCCCCUCCCUCUCUCCUAUAGGGUGGUUUUGUCAGUUCGAUGAGCUUGGAAUACUCAAAGUGCAUGG
ensembl:lncRNA